rnacentral:rRNA from 1 species
UACGGCUCAGUAACACGUAGUUAAUCUGCCCUUGGGACGGGAACAACCCUGGGAAACUGGGGCUAAUUCCCGAUAGGCGCAGUGGCCUGGAAUGGUAUUGCACCUAAAGGGCUCUAGGAACAUGCUCUUGGAGCUGCCCAAGGAUGAGACUGCGGCCGAUCAGGUUGUUGGUGGGGUAACGGCCUACCAAGCCUAUAACCGGUACGGGCCCUGAGAGGGGUGGCCCGGAGAUGGGAACUGAGACAAGGUCCCAGGUCCUACGGGGCGCAGCAGGCGCGAAAACUCCACAAUGCGCGAACGCGUGAUGGGGUCAGCCCGAGUGCCGUCCGAUGAGGAUGGCUUUUCUCCAGUCUAAGGAGCUGGAGGAAUAAAGGGGGGGCAAGACUGGUGUCAGCCGCCGCGGUAAUACCAGCCCCCUGAGUGGUAAGGACGAUUAUUUGGCCUAAAGCGUCCGUAGCCGGCUUGGUAAGUCUUCCGUUAAAUCCGGCGAUUCCAUCGUCGGGCCGCGGAAGAUACUGCUAGGCUUGAGGACGGGAGAGGUCGACGGUAGUCCCAGGGUAGGGGUGAAAUCCUAUAAUCCUGGGAGGACCACCAGUGGCGAAGGCGGUCGACUAGAACGUGCCUGACGGUGAUGGACGAAAGCUGGGGGAGCGAACCGGAUUAGACACCCGGGUAGUCCCAGCUGUAAACGAUGCGAGCUAGGUGUUAGGGCAACUAUGGGUUGCUCUAGUGCCGCAGAGAAGUUGUUAAGCUCGCCGCCUGGGAAGUACGGCCGCAAGGCUGAAACUUAAAGGAAUUGGCGGGGGAGCACA